AUGCUGGGAAUGCUYCGGUAACUCAAAGUCCGGCGCCUUAGGAUGGAUCUGCGGCCGAUUAGGUAGUGUGGGUAACGGCCCCACAAGCCCGUAAUCGGUACGGGUUGUGGGAGCAAGAGCCCGGAGUUGGAUUCUGAGACACGAAUCCAGGCCCUACGGGGCGCAGCAGGCGCGAAAACUUUACAAUGCGGGCAACCGUGAUAAGGGAACCUCGAGUGCCUGUAAAUGCAGGCUGUUUAGGUGUUUAAAACGCACCUGGAGAAAGGGCCGGGCAAGACCGGUGCCAGCCGCCGCGGUAAUACCGGCGGCUCGAGUGGUGGCCACUUUUAUUGGGCUUAAAGCGUUCGUAGCUGGGUUGUUAAGUCUCUUGGGAAAUCUGGCGGCUUAACCGUCAGGCGUCUAAGGGAUACUGGCAAUCUUGGAACCGGGAGAGGUGAGGGGUACUUCGGGGGUAGGAGUGAAAUCCUGUAAUCCUCGAGGGACCACCUGUGGMRAAGGCGCCUCACCAGAACGGCUUCGACAGUGAGGGACGAAAGCUGGGGGAGCAAACCGGAUUAGAUACCCGGGUAGUCCCAGCCGUAAACUAUGCGCGUUAGGUGUAUCGGUGACCACGAGUUACCGAGGUGCCGAAGGGAAACCGUGAAACGUGCCGCCUGGGAAGUACGGUCGCAAGGCUGAAACUUAAAGGAAUUGGCGGGGGAG
rnacentral:rRNA from 1 species